CGUUCAUAUUUUGUGUUUCCUGAAUACUAUUACUGUUACAUUGGUGCUCUAGUGCGGCGAACAUGGCAGAGAAAACAUGGCUUAUGGGAGAUGGUGAAAGAGGAUAGAGAAGCAACUAGAACACACUUCGAUAUCGGAAAAUACGGUGGAUGCGUUGCUAAAGCAGAACUGGGAGGCUGGAAGAAACCUCCAUCGAAAUGGCCAAGCAUCUAUCUCCGCUGGCGACAAUUCGAACCACCCACCAUUUCAGGUGAGAAAUGUGAAGCUGGAUUUUCAUCGCUUUGACGGAUCUGAAGCUCAAUCGGCCAAGCUAUAUGAAGAAAAAUAUACUCCAAAAAUUAAGUUCCUGCUCCCAAAGCUCCAAAAGAUUUUUAGGGUUAGGUUCCAUUUUUUUCGACCCACAUAUUAGGAAGCUUUUCAAAAGCUCCUGCUCCCAAAGCUCCCAUGGAGUGAAUUGGGAUAGGAGUAGGGUUGGGUUAACUCCCGUGCCCCAAAUGAAAAAAAUUCUUUCUCGACAGCAGCACUCUACAAGCGGAUGACACCAAGCUGUGUUUCAAGACUAAUCUUUCUUUGAUUUCUUUGUGCUUACACUUUCAUUAUUUCUUCAUAAUUAACCUUUCUUCUUCUGUUUCAGAUACUCAGAUCAGACCCAGUUGAGACGGAAGAAGCUGUGUUGCGUUUGCAUCCAUUUUCAGUCCCCACUUCAACUUCUCCACCUGGAGAGGCCUAAAGCAGAUAUGUUGUAAUAAGUUCCAGUCCUGAAGUAGAAUCAACAGAGACAGAAAAUGCCACGAACCAUAACAGAGUUCAAUAGUAACUAAAUCCCAAAUACUGAGCAGCCAAGACCUCUUGAGUCUGCAGAAACAAUUCAUCCAAAGGGAUGCAACAACCAACAGACUGGAGUUAAAUUUACAAAAGGCACAACAGCACAUGAAGAGGCAGAUUAAAAAAGAAAGCUGAUGCAGUUAGAGAUUGGUGAUAUGGUACUCGUAUAACUUCAGCCCCAUGGACAACAUUUCAUAUUGUUAAGGAAAAAGCAGAAACUCAGUCUUCGCUAUUUUGGACCUUUUCCUAUAAUUGAGUUGACUGGGGAAGUAGCUUAUAAACUUCUCUUGCCUUCGUCUGCAAAAAUUCACCAAGUCUUUCAUCGUUCACAGCUCAAAUUGUGUAAGGGUGAUCAUGCUCAGCCAUAUGUACCAUUUCCCAUUACAAAUUCAGAUACUGGAUCGGUGUUACAGCCAGAAGCCAUAUUACAAACAAGAGUUCAGGAAUUAGCAAGUGCAAUAACAUUUAAUCAAGUGGGAAGGUUUGGAAGAUAGUCAAGCAACUUGGGAGGAUGUCACUGCCAUAAUGCAGGUUUUUCCAAAAUUCAACCUUGAUGACAAGGUUUCUUUUAAAGGAGAAGUAAUGUAACAAAUGUAGCUGCAAAGAGGUUGAUUCAAGAGAAUAAUGGGACCAAAGAAAAGGGACACGUGACAAGCAAUUAAACAAAAAGGUGCAGCGAUAUGCCUAAAAUAACCAAUUGUAAGCUGGCUGAAUUUGAGUGGUCCAGACAUUAGAAUAUGAAGGUAGUUAGAGGAGAAAGAAAGGGGGAUGGUUGUAAUAUUUUCUUUUCUGACUGAGAAUUUUGUCUCUUAUAUUCCUUUCUUAAUACCAUUACGAGUAAUUAUUCA